UUGAACGCUGGCGGCGUGCCUAACACAUGCAAGUCGAACGGUAACAGGCCCUUGGGGUGCUGACGAGUGGCGGACGGGUGAGUAAUGCUUAGGAAUCUGCCUAGUAGUGGGGGAUAACCCGGGAAACUCGGGCUAAUACCGCAUACGCCCUACAGGGGAAAGCGGGGGACUUUCGGCCGUCNCGCUAUUAGAUGAGCCUAAGUCCGAUUAGCUAGUUGGUAGGGUAAUGGCCUACCAAGGCGACGAUCGGUAGCUGGUCUGAGAGGACGACCAGCCACACUGGGACUGAGACACGGCCCACGACUCCUACGGGAGGCAGCAGUGGGGAAUAUUGGACAAUGGGCGCAAGCCUGAUCCAGCGAUGCCGCGUGUGUGAAGAA
rnacentral:rRNA from 1 species